UCAGGUAUUUACAGCCAAUGGCAGCGAUCAGAGGUUCUGGCCAGCGCUCAUAUUGAAAUUCAUAGGCCCAUCUUUGCUAUGAGGAUUCAUGGACCAAAAUCUGAAGUGGCUGGGGUUCAGGCCUAGUACCCCUAACCAAAUCGGGAGCUCCAUACCUCCCAAGCCCUCCAUCAUUCAGGUUUGCAUCCUGACCUUCCUAAAUUGCAAUUCAGGGGAUGAAGGAGUAUCGUUAGAUACACAUGACAACUUUCACACCUCAGCCAUUUGAACUUGUAGCUGAGCCAAGCCAAACCCCUCUUCAGAAAACAUCAGGUCAAAAUAAGGAUGAAUAGGUCAUAUUCAUAAUGUAUUCCUUGAAAUUCCAAUCAAUCCGACAUCUACAUUAUCUGA